GCCUGAGUGGCGGAAUUGGUAGACGCGUUGGUCUCAAACACCAAUGACAGCAAUGUCGUGCCGGUUCGACCCCGGCCUCAGGUA
rnacentral:tRNA from 2 species